rnacentral:rRNA from 1 species
CGUGCAGCCGGGUCUGCAAGUCAGAUGUGAAAUCCAUGGGCUCAACCCAUGAACUGCAUUUGAAACUGUAGGUCUUGAGUGUCGGAGGGGCAAUCGGAAUUCCUAGUGUAGCGGUGAAAUGCGUAGAUAUUAGGAGGAACACCAGUGGCGAAGGCGGAUUGCUGGACGAUAACUGACGGUGAGGCGCGAAAGUGUGGGAGCAAACA